GACGAACGCUGGCGGCGUGCUUAACACAUGCAAGUCGAGCGGUAAGGCUCCUUCGGGAGUACACGAGCGGCGAACGGGUGAGUAACACGUGAGUAAUCUGCCCUUCACUUCGGGAUAACCGCCGGAAACGGUGGCUAAUACCGGAUACGACGCACUCUCGCAUGAGAUGUGCGUGGAAAGUUUUCUCGGUGGAGGAUGUGCUCGCGGCCUAUCAGCUUGUUGGUGAGGUAACGGCUCACCAAGGCUUCGACGGGUAGCCGGCCUGAGAGGGUGACCGGCCACACUGGGACUGAGACACGGCCCAGACUCCUACGGGAGGCAGCAGUGGGGAAUAUUGCACAAUGGGCGCAAGCCUGAUGCAGCAACGCCGCGUGAGGGAUGACGGCCUUCGGGUUGUAAACCUCUUUUAGCAGGGAAGAAGCGAGAGUGACGGUACCUGCAGAAAAAGCGCCGGCUAACUACGUGCCAGCAGCCGCAGUAAUAC
rnacentral:rRNA from 1 species